AUGCUAAAGAACUGGAUUCUGAGAACUCUGGAAUCCCUGAGGACAGCAGGAUGGAGAAUUCUUAUUAUGGGAUGGAGGGAAAUUAUUGCUAAGGGAACCCCAGUAAGAGUCAUCACACCCACAUUUCUGUCCACUACAUCCUUUCUGAGAUUCAAGUUAGAAGAUAACUCCUGGCUUUCCUGGGAGAAUGAGAAGGUCCUUCAUCUCUGCUCCCUCAGUCCUGGCUCCAUUCUCCUCAGCAUCAGGCAUCAGCAGCCUUGGGCUGGAUAUAGGCAAGUUUCAGCAAUAUUGAUGGCGUCUUGGUGGAACAUUGUCGCAGUUUGUUGGAGCAGGACAGGAGGGAAAUUGUAAGAUGCCACUUGGUGAUGAGAGGACAAAUUCCAGAGCACACCACACACAUUGUGGGUUCCACUGGCUUAUUUGUAAAGAAUGUGAAGAGCAAUGUGGUUUCUGUUGCAGUAGAGAGUGAAGCCAGAGAAAUUGUGUUUUAUGUCUUUGUUGUUAGGGGUCUUUUUUUGUUUGUUUUUUACUUUUUUGGUGAGGAAGAUUGGCCCUGAGCUAACAUCUGUUGCCAAUCUUCCUCUUUUUUUUUUUCUCUCCAAAGCCCAGCACAUAGUUAUAUAUUCUAGUUGAAAGUCACUCUAGUUUUUCUAUGAGGGAUGCCAGCACAGCAUGGCUUUAUGAGCAGUGCUAGGUCGGUACCCAGGAUCCAGACCAAUGAACCCCGGGCUGCCAAAGCAGAGAGUGUGAACUUAACCACUCAGCCAUGGGGCUGGCCCCCUAUUUUGAAUCCUAGAUGGGGUGCAGAUGCCUGAGAAUUUCUAGAGACGUGAAAAAUAGGGAUAACAACAUGUGUCCCACAAAGGAACGGUCUGAGAAUUAAAUGGGAUCAUAUAUUUAAAGUCCAGACAUGAUUCCUGGACCAUUGAUGAUACUGACUUAUUUAGGCCAAUGAGACUUAUGCUCAUUUUAAAAAGGUAAAUUAAAUUUCUUAUUCUUUGCCUAUUAUAACUCUUCACCCAUUUUUACCUUCUAAUACCCUGUUGGUUAAUAUUUGCCUUUUCUUUUUAAAUGAAAUAUUUCCCUGAAGGAAAAGAGAAAAAGGGAGAAAAAUUAAGACUAUGAUUUUCUCAUUGUUACAUCAGAAUUUUACAAUUGGCCUCACACGCUCAGUCUAUCUCUUCCUUGCAUAUCUUCUUAUUUCAAACAUAUCUUAAAAAGUCCGUUUUUGACUAGUGUGAUGCUGGCACAGGAAUAGACAGAUCAAUGGAACAAAAUAGAUAGCCCAGAAAUACAUUUCAGUAUGUAUGCGAAUUUAAUGUAUGAUAAAGGAGACAUCACACAUCAGCGAGAAAAGGAAGGAUUAUUUAACAAAUGGUGCCAGGACCUCUGGGUAGCAAUUUAGGGAGAAAAAAAAUCAAUUUUAGGCCUUUACUUCACAUUCAUGAAGAGAAAUCACUCCCAGAUGGGUUAAAGAAUUAAAUAUAAAAUAUCAAAUCUUAGAAAAACUAGAGAAAAAAGAGAAGUGAAUAAGAAUUCAAUCUCCAGAGGAGUAAGAACUUCCCAAGCUUAGAGCGAUAGGAUAAAACACAAAGGAAUAGAUCACCAGAUUCAACUGCUUAAGAUUUAAUAUUUAAAAUCCUGACACAGACCGACUGAACCUAAAAUCAGACUGGCAAUAAUAGUUGCAGCAAAUAUUAACGAAGUGUUAUUUUUUUCUACAAAUGUCAAUCAAUGCAAAGAACCCUACGACCUAGAUCAAUAAAUGGGCAAAGACACUCCCA
rnacentral:lncRNA from 1 species